rnacentral:ncRNA from 1 species
CAGUAUUCACCUAGUACGAGAGGAACUGUUGAUUCACACACAUUGGUCAUACGCGCUUGUGUUGAAAAGCCAGUGGCGCGAAGCUACCGUGUGCCGGAUUAUGACUGAACGCCUCUAAGUCAGAAUCCAAGCUAGCAACCGGCGCCUGUGCCCGCCGCUCGCCCCGACCCACAUUAGGGCGUUCGCGCCCCAAGGGCCCGUGCCAUUGGCUCAGCCUGCUCGGCCGACGCGCCGUAGCCGGCCGCCUCGAAGCUCCCUUCCUAACGGGCGGCGGGCUGAAUCCUUUGCAGACGACUUAAAACGCGACGGGGCAUUGUAAGUGGCAGAGUGGCCUUGCUGCCACGAUCCACUGAGAUCCAGCCCCACGUCGCACGGAUUCGU